GUCCCGUCCCGCUCCUGGUUCCUCGCCCAGCCCGUGGCUCCCCCUGGCUUUGCGGUGCCCCCCGGUGGCCGCAGCCAUCCGCGGUUGCGAGUUGCCCUCUGCCGGCCGCCGGCGGCCGCUCGCCUCCCGGUGCGACGUCACGCUGCUGUGACGUCAUAGGUGAAGCUGGGACACCGACAUAAGGGCGAGGGGCGGCUGGAGGGGCGAAGACCCCGCCAUCCCCUCCCCGUAACGCCGCGGGACCGGCUGGCCCAGAGGAAGAGAGCUCUGUGACCAGGUUCUUCCACUGACUGGAGUUUGCCGUUAUCAGAGCAACGUGGAGCAAAUUAAGUCGGUGGGAAACGCGUUUGUUGGCUCAAGCCCAAGGAACGUCAGUUCUUUAGAUUUCACAUCUGAAAGCUUGGCUUUGCCAAGACCUGCCUGCUGCACGGGACCUGCUGGAGUGACACACCGAACCGGCCAUGCGAACCAGUACAAAAGCUGGUCUUUUCUUCCUCUGCCCUUUACACAAAUAUAUUCGGGAUCUGUUCCAACUCCUGGCAACAAAGGCAGCUUCAGCUAUGCGGUCCUUGAGAGUGAAAAUACACCGGGGAAAAUCCUAAGCACAAAAAACUCCCUGGCUUUCCUGCCCCCGUGUGAGGGGAGUGUUAGAGGAGAGGGUGCAUCAGAAGUGGAUGGAUCGGGCUCUGAUAGCAACUGCUGGGGACUCUUGGAGAGUUCCCAGCAGAGAAUUUAUGGGGAAAAAGCAAAAACAUCACCACACGACACUGGGAGAAUUUCACUGUCUGGAAGAAAGAGCUUGGAUGGUAGAAAACUCGUGUUGCCUCAGCUGAGACAGGUGUCUGGAAACACCUAUGUAAGUUACACAUCAGUGCAUUUU